rnacentral:tRNA from 1 species
AAAAAGAUAAGCUAAUUAAGCUAUUAGGUUCAUACCCUACUUAUAGAGGUUACAACCCUCUUCUUUUUA